GACGAACGCUGGCGGCGUGCUUAACACAUGCAAGUCGAACGAAGUGGCGAACGGGAGAGUAACGCGUAAUCAACCUGCCCUUCAGAGGGGGCUAACAGUUGGAAACGACUGCUAAUACUGCAUACUGAAGGAGGGGAUUGCGUCUGAUUAGCUAGUGGGAGGGGUAACGGCCCACCAAGGCGAUGAUCAGUAGCCGGUCUGAGAGGAGGAACGGCCAAAUGGGGACUGAUACACGGCCCAGACUCCUACGGGAGGCAGCAGUGGGGAAUCUUCCGCAAAGGACGAAAGUCUGACGGAGAAACGCCGCGUGAGUGAUGACGGCCUUCGGGUUGUAAAGCUCUGUUAAUCGGGACGCGGUACCGGAAGAGAAAGCCACGGCUAACUACGUGCCAGCAGCCGCGGUAAUAC
rnacentral:rRNA from 1 species